UUGUUCCCUUUCAAUGCACCGGUCCUUUCAGAUACAUCUCUCCAUUCCCAAUUUUUUUUUAGUUUUCACACCCAAUACAUCUCUCCGAUCCUUAACCUAUUUCAAAUUAGGUUUUUCAAAAAUUUCAAUCAACCCUAAAUGUGCGACGGUUGAUCUUUUAUUCCAUUCACUAUGCAAUUCAUUCAAUUAUGGUUUCUCAUCUCCCAAAAUCUAAUCACUACAUCAUCAAUGUUAGUUUGAAGGCUUGUUCUUUCAAAUUUUUUGUAUUUCUUCCUUAUUCUACAUGUAUAAAUAUGACCUAUCUCAUCUCCAAUUCAUCAUCCCCUUUGAACCCUUACGAUUUUGCGUUAUUUUCCUAUAGCCGCUGCAAGACGCGAUUUUGUUGCUGAAAUCACACCAGCCAAAGAGUCAUGGGAUGUUGUUGUUCGAGUUAUUCGAUUGUGGUUUGUGCCAAACAGGAAUUCGAAACAAAAGUAUUAUGCUAUGGAGAUGGUUCUAAUGGAUGAGAACGUUUCAAGAUACAAGCUUCUGUUCGUAAGGCUCUGCUGUCUCGAUUUGAGAAUAAGAUUCGUGAGGGUAUUGUUUAUAAUUUACAAUAUUUUGGGGGUUUCCGCUAAUACUGGAGGAUAUAGGACCACGAAACACCAAUUCAAGUUGAAUUUCUAGAGUUCUACUGUGGUUACAGAAAUUAUUGAUGAUCUUAUAACAGUAUCCCCUUACUCAUUUGUGUCCUUCCCACAGAUCGUUGGGAAAAUUGAUAUGGACUACUUGAUUGAUGUUGUGGCCAUUUUGUCUGUUGUUGGACGUGAAAGGGUCUAUGAAAGGAAUGAUGUAACUACUAAGUUUAAGGUUAUUGAGUUACAGUCCGAUGGGAUGAAGCUUGACUGUACACUGUUUGGACCAUAUGUUGAUGAGCCUGAUGCAUACCUCAAACCCGGUAACACCGACCCUGUUGUUGUUCUUGGUCAGUAUCUGAAAGUCAAAUUGUACAAUGGAAAGAUCGAGAUGUAGAAUGCAAUGAACUGUACCAAACUGUUGUUCAACCCAAAAACACCCGAGGCAGAUUCUUUGAAGCUGAACGAUAACAUUGGAUCGCCUACUCAACCAUUUAGUUAUAUGAAGGAUGCUUCUGAGAUGAGUUUAGAAGAAGAUUUCUUAAAUCUGAGUCAACGCAAAACAAUAGAGGAACUAAAAGACUGUCAAGAUAUGAUUUUCAUUUUACUUUUAUUUCAUUUUUAUCCUUCCUUACAUGCUUAUUAUAUUAUAGGUUAAUUUGACAUUGUUAUUUGGUUUUUUAUGUCUACAGAAUAUGGUUUGUGUUGUGUUAGGCACAAUCAAACAUGUUUCUGGUGGCAAUGAUUAGUGGUAUGCUGCAUGUGUCUGCAACAAGGGUGUUGUUGUAGACUCCAGAAGGUUGUUCUACACAAAGUGUGACAAGCAUAUUUGAACAAUUGUCCCAAGGUUUCGUGUCAAACUCAGGGUAAUUGAUGAAACUGAUUCUGCUACUUUCGUGAUUUUUGAUCGCGAUUGUUAUUUUCUGACCAAAAUGACAUGUUCUGAUUUGAUUGCUGAAAUGGAUCGGGAAGAGGAGCCAUCAAUUGUGGCUAAAGUGAUUGGUGGUUUUGUUGAUCUAACAUUUCUCUUUAAGAUAGAUGUAAACAAUGAUAUGAACUUUGGAUAUGAACAGUCUUUUCGCGUGAAAAAAGUUUGUGCUGACAAAGAUAUAAUUUCAAAGUUCAAAUUUGCUGCAAAGAUUGAUAAUACUCUAUUUCAUGUUAGUUCAUAUUUUUUUGUAACAUGUCCCUUUCAUGUUUGUUCAUAUAUUUGAUUAAUGUUUCAAUUAUUAAUUGUUUUAGAAAUCUGUUGACGUUGAGGAUGAUUUUACUGCUGGUGUGGUACAAAGUGAUAUGUCUGCUGGUGAUAUUCAGGAUCUGAAUUUAGUUGUGAAGGUUGCUAUACUUUUCAACCAGUUGGACUUUGUUUUAAUUUUUUUUAGGUAUUCUUUGAUGCAUGUUCAUAUGACUAACUUUAAAAUUGUAAAUUGUUUGGAAACU